rnacentral:rRNA from 1 species
GGCCCUACGGGACGCAGCAGUGAGGAAUAUUGGUCAAUGGCCGAGAGGCUGAACCAGCCAAGUCGCGUGAGGGAUGACGGCCCUACGGGUUGUAAACCUCUUUUGUCGGGGAGCAAGACCCGCCUCGUGCAGGCGGAGCGAGAGUACCCGAAGAAAAAGCAUCGGCUAACUCCGUGCCAGCAGCCGCGGUAAUACGGAGGAUGCGAGCGUUAUCCGGAUUUAUUGGGUUUAAAGGGUGCGUAGGCUGACUGUCAAUUCAGCGGUAAAAAUUCUGGGCUCAACCCGGUCGUGCC